rnacentral:lncRNA from 1 species
UCCAGGAUUGUAGGAAGCAAGGGAGUGUUUAAGGGAGGAUUUUUCUCUUUAUACACUUAGUGAAAAAUCCAAGAUGAUUGUUCUUGAUGGAUUAAGUUAGAGUCUUGCAUAGAGAGACUAGGGUGUCUUGUAUAAAGAUAUAACAAUAAUAAAAUCUCUUUCAUGUUGAAAGGGGAAUGGAGUACUCUUGGAUUGUGAGAGGAA